rnacentral:rRNA from 1 species
AUGCUACGUACUAGAGAGAGGAGAAAUGUUGUUUCAUCAGAAAGAGAUGAAGGAAUUGGCCAUGUCGUACUUCAUCUUCUCGAGGUUGGGCGAGAUGGCGAACUUGAUCAUGGGCGGCGGCCCGCAGGCGAGCGCGAGGGUGUCGUCGCCGCCCUCGGGGACGUGCGCCCGCAGGAUGUCCUCCGUCACGAACCCCACGCUGAACCUCCACCCGUCCUCCGGCCGCUUCACCUGGUCGAUCACGUACCACACCUUGAGCCUCUCCGGGUACUCCGCCGCCCACCGGUCCAGCUCGUCGCGCAGCAGGAUGUCGUCCUCGCUCCGGUUCGCGUACACCAGGUGCAUCUCCGUCUCGUCCUCCGGCUGGUCGCGCAGCACGGCCUGGAUCACCUGGUACAUGGGCGUGAUCCCGCUGCCGCCGCAGAUCAUGGCCAGCCUGCGCGCCCGCCGCUGCUUGCCGUUGAUGACGAAGUUGCCGCGGCCGGUGUACUCCACGUGCCCCAGCGGGCCCUUGACGUCGAUGCAGGAGCCGAGCUGGAGCGACUCCAGGUACUGCGUCAUGAGGCCGCCGCUGGGGAACUUGGGGUGCUCGUCCUUGAAGUAGACCUUGACGAGCAGCUCGAACUGGCCGAUCUCGUCGACCAUGCUCGUCGGAGUGUAGGCGCGCAUGCAGAGCUUGCCGUCGAUGGUGGCGCACACGAAGAUGUGCUUGCCGACGGGGAGGCCGAGCACCUGGUCGGAGGACGGCAGCGCGAAGCGGAAGAGGCGGACGUCGUGGGAGAGCUCCUUCUUGUCCACCAGGCGGCAGGGCACCUUCUCCCGCGGGCUGGACAGCGCGAUGGGCGCCCCGGCGACCUUGGUGGCCUCCCGGAUCGGGGCGAGGUGGGAGAGGCUGGACCCGCCGUGCACCGAGUUGUCCGAGUUGUAGCCGGUGCCCGUGGUGAUGAGCUCGCCGAUGCGGUAGGUGUCGAGGAGCGCCUUGGCCUUGUCGGAGUGGAUGGCGUCGAACUCCUCGGUGCAGUCGGAUCCCGCAUUGAUGAGGAUGCUGUCGGCGCCGCCGGGGUGGUCCUUGAGGAAGGCGGUGCAGUCGUAGACGUGGCCGUGCACCACGAUCCACGCCGACUCCUUGGACCCGUGCUUGCGCACCUCGGACAUGGUGAACUGCUUGUCGGCGACGGUGUUCAUGAACGGAGUAGACGUGCUGCGCUUGAGCCCUGGCGCCGCCGCCUCGGCCGUCUCCAGGUGCUUCUGGCGCGCCAUCCAGCCGCCGGUCUGGUUGCCUGGCUGCGUGGGGUGCUCGAAGACCAGCCCGAUCUCGCCCUUGUGGGGGCGGCACACGUUGACCUUCACCUUGAACCAGCAGUUGUUCAUCAUGCCCAUGAGGUUCCAGAUGAGCUUCUCCGGCUGGGUGUUGUGGGUCUGGUCCCACGCGCGCACCGCCACCUCCUUGGCCCCAAGGAGGUCCAGCACCUCGAUCUCCACCGACCAGAAGCACCAGCACCAGUACCGGCCGUACUUGUUCGGCUUCUCCGGGAUGUCGAGCGUGCACAACAUCCAGCUCUCGCCGCCGUCCAGAGUCACUUCCACUCGUGUGAUCUUCUUACCACCACCUACAAAACGCAACGAUAA